UACGAAGGGGGCUAGCGUUGUUCGGAAUUACUGGGCGUAAAGCGCGCGCAGGCGGCUCUCCAAGUCAGUGGUGAAAGCCCGGAGCUCAACUCCGGAACUGCCAUUGAAACUGUUUAGCUUGAGGACGAGAGAGGUGAGUGGAAUUCCCAGUGUAGAGGUGAAAUUCGUAGAUAUUGGGAAGAACACCGGUGGCGAAGGCGGCUCACUGGCUCGUAUCUGACGCUCAGGCGCGACAGCGUGGGGAUCAAACAGG
rnacentral:rRNA from 1 species